rnacentral:tRNA from 1 species
GGGCUUGUAGCUCAGCUGGUUAGAGCGUUGCAUUGACAUUGCAGAGGUCAGAGGUUCGAGUCCUCUCAGGCCCA